CUCGACCCCACUCUUGACUGAUAAUGGAUUGCCAUUUGCCCGUCCGGUCCCCCCUUAGCUCACGCCUGUGCCCUCCGCCCAGCGGAAGUGCGGGAGGACCGGACGUGACCCCGAUUCCUCCCAGCUGGAAACUGGCUGCCGCGGGCGUAUUCACGUGGAAAUUGGCAAACACCGCCCAUCAGGGCUUUCACCCCCACGGGGCUGGUUGGUAAAUCUGGAUCAGCACAUCCCUGGUCAUUAGCACUUGACAUUUACUACGUUAGAUAUUGAGACUAAUCAUUAAAAACGUUUUGUUGAUGC